CGUCGGACCUUUUAAGGAGUAAGGCUGGGGGCGGGGUGUUACAUGGCCGAUAUACAAAGGCAAGGAACAAUAAAUACGUCGGUGAUGAUAUACGGUCUGAUGUAGUAUGGCUUUCAGCAUACGGUAUUUCAACCACGCUUUUUAUAGAAGUUUAAUGUGCCAGUAAGUGUUACUGUUUGUUUUAAAUAGACAUUUAAGAUUUGGGCGACAGUGCCACCUCGCGGACUUGCGAUAUUGUCACAGUUUCAGCCCUUGAAGUCGGUACAGGUCUAGGACCUGUAUAACAACCGAAAAUCCACGCAGCUGAAAAAGCAUUUGACACUAAGUUGUACAAAUUCAAAGUGAUGCACGGAAAAUGCGUUUUGUUUUCAAAUUGUCCGACAAAUUCCCAUAGACACUGAGUUGAAUUUUGUUUCGUUGCUACGCCGAAACUGUAAGUUAUUCUUCAUUAUACGCACGCCCAUUUUUCAGCCAAUGUGUUAACAAUAGUGAUUCCGAAUUUUAAAAGUGGAUUGAUGUACUCUUGACAGGGGUCCCCUCAACAAAAGCUCUCUAUAAGGUCUUAGAAAGACGAGAGUGAUAUUAUGUCAUAACUGUUGCAAGUAACCUACACUACGCCUACGGCCUGAUAGGGAGUCUCUAGGUAUCCAUUCUUGUGUGGCUCAAAUUCUCGAGAAUCCGCAAGGUCCUGCGCACGUGGGUAUAGUGACAGCUGGUGCUACCACCUUGCCUUCCGGCAGCAGCAAAUCAAAAUGUAUUUUUCACAUUCCUUAUUAACAGGUGGCCAUACAGUAAAAUGCUUGCGUUAAAAAAAAAACGGUAAAAACCGGCAUGUGUGACCUCUUACCGAUUGGCUGAAAGUUAUGCUAAAUAAGACCAUAUAUCAGCCCCCCCCCCCAAAAAAACCCAAAACGUUCAUUGUUCUAAUUGGUUGAUAACCAACAGCAAUAAGACCUCUUAUAUGGCCAAUAUUCCACGUUUUAACACAAUUUCAUUAUCUUUGUUUUUUCAAUUCUGGUAAAAUUAGACUUUAAUGACAAAAGGAUUUUUCACCUCAGUUCUGGGAUUAAAUCUGGCGACUUUUCAGUCAUUGGUCACAUUAUCUCACAUCUGGGAUACCUGCACCUUGAUAUAUGUGUAUAUGUAUAUAUAUUAAUAAAUUUUAGUCCAGGACCAGGUUCGAGGUGUUUGUGAAACUGGCCGUUGGUGUCGAAUUCUGAAGACCUGCUGCAGUGGCAGCGCACGUUUCUGUCCCAGGCCAGCACUGUCAUUACCUUAUUGUUUAAGCUGUGGUUAGUGGCAGACCCAGCUCCCUCCUGGACAUGUUAUGGAGAACACUACAUACAGAUGUCUUUAAAUGUGAUCUGUGCGAACGCCGACAUGGACUUGCAACUCUUCAGUGAUGAAGGAACUGAUCCGGGACCUGCCGUCUUCCCACAGGUCUGUGAGGGUUCCAUUGGUGCUGUCCAGUCAUGAGAAGGGAACAACUGCCAGAGUGGAGGGACCCUUGAAGGCCCUGACAGAGGACCUGUUUCGACGGGCCGAUGCCAGUCUCAGUCACCCCGCGGUUAGACCUGCUGAUGACCAGAAAGAGUUCAGCAUCAGGAUCAUGGGCCCUUCAACAUCCAGUCAUUUGUUAUGGGAGUCAGUGAAUUAGUUUGAAUAGGACAUUUACUCUUUCCGCCAUUGUGGAAUGGUGGCUAUUGCGAGUGUAUUCAUUGGAGAAGGAAGUGAAGCCAUUAGGGCUGUGAUGAAUCAUCUCAAAUGAUGUGAACAGAAAAUUAGCACUUUUUGCAUCUGCCAUAUUGUUUGCAUUGUGUGAAGUUGUUCAAAGGAUGUUUCUGUGACAACUGAAUAAUACUGAACUUGCUAUCUGCUGUCCCUCCAAGGAAGCAAUGGGAUUUUCAGUUUCCUCAAGGACUGUGUCACUGAGACAGCACCAGGGGGUGCUGUUGUUCACCACUAAUUAUUUGGUCCUUGAAAUAAGUUAAAAAUGGAAUACUUCAUAGAAUCUCCGAUUUGAUUUGGUUGUUAACACAACACUGGACUCGUAAUGAUUAUGAUGGCCGGCUAGUAUCUAGAAACUACAGCAAAUUGUUUGAUUAUUACAUUUCUGUUAACUGUUUGUUUUUGUUGGCAGUGUUCCUAAAUUUCCAAAUGAAACCCGCCCCUUAAUUAAUAAUAAGCUCAUAAUAAAUACCUAAAAAAUCUUCCAAAUAGAAGAUGCUGCCCAAGUACUUAGAUACAUGUAACUCUGCAUUCAGUAAAACGAUGUUAGUCAGUUAAUAAAUUUUGUUUUGGUAUUUUUAGUGUUGAAGUUACUAAAUGAAGCAGGGAAUUGUUAUUUCUAAGGAAAAGCAGGACAAAAUAAAUGACCCUGAAAGUGAUGUAUUAAACCUGUUGUAUGAAUAAUUUUUCUCUCUGCAGGGGGCACUAGCUCCCC
ensembl:lncRNA